GUGUGUGUGUGCGCUCGUGUUCUCGGAAAACUUUUUCUUCUCUUUCCAUGUCUUAUUUUUUAACUUUUUACAGAGUAGGUGUUAUAAAAUCAUCUUUAGGAAAUACAGAAACACAUUUACAGAAAUGUUCUACAUUUGAACUAAAGGGGGCAGUGCUUCCUUUCAUAAAGAUAAAUAACUUUCGUUACAAACAGGGUUGUUCAUAUCUGAAAUGAAGGUUCUGUGAAAGGACAUGAAUAAAGCACAGAAGGUUGAAGUCAGAUUUGCAGCUUUCUGGGCAGGAGACAAAACAAUCUCCAUCUCCCGCGGAGGGAUGGGCAUGCUCCUGGGGGCAUCAUUGCUGAUUCUGUGGCUUCAGACAGACUGGGUAAAUAGUCAACAGAAGAAUGAUGACCAGCAAGUUAAGCAAAAUACACCAUUCCUGAGUGUCCAGGAAGGAGAACUUUCUAUUCUGAAUUGUGACUAUACUAACAACCUGUUUGAUUAUUUCCUGUGGUACAAAAAAUAUCCUGCUGAAGGUCCUGCAAUCGUGAUAUCUAUAAGUUCAGUUACGAAUCAAAAUAAAGAUGGAAGAUUCACAGUCUUCUUAAACAAAAGUGCCAAGCGCCUCUCUCUGCACAUUGCGCCCUCCCAGCCUGGAGACUCUGCAGUGUACCUCUGUGCAGCAAGCGCACAGUGCUCUGCAGGCACCUGCAGCCCGUACUCAAACCUGCUUUGGGGUCUCAAACUGGGAGGCACACAGACUCGCCUUCAUUUACACAUGGCAGUAUGAGAGAUCAUGCUUUGAAGUCGGUGAGGCAAGUUGAGCUUAAAGAAAGACUGAUACAUGACAAGCCUUACAGACAAGAAAGUUACCUUA